AUUGAACGCUGGCGGCAGGCUUAACACAUGCAAGUCGAGCGGAGAUGAGGUGCUUGCACCUUAUCUUAGCGGCGGACGGGUGAGUAAUGCUUAGGAAUCUGCCUAUUAGUGGGGGACAACAUUCCGAAAGGAAUGCUAAUACCGCAUACGUCCUACGGGAGAAAGCAGGGGAUCUUCGGACCUUGCGCUAAUAGAUGAGCCUAAGUCGGAUUAGCUAGUUGGUGGGGUAAAGGCCUACCAAGGCGACGAUCUGUAGCGGGUCUGAGAGGAUGAUCCGCCACACUGGGACUGAGACACGGCCCAGACUCCUACGGGAGGCAGCAGUGGGGAAUAUUGGACAAUGGGGGGAACCCUGAUCCAGCCAUGCCGCGUGUGAAGAAGGCCUUAUGGUUGUAAAGCACUUUAAGCGAGGAGGAGGCUACUGAGACUAAUACUCUUGGAUAGUGGACGUUACUCGCAGAAUAAGCACCGGCUAACUCUGUGCCAGCCGCCGCAGUAAUAC
rnacentral:rRNA from 1 species